rnacentral:rRNA from 1 species
UACGUAGGGUGCGAGCGUUGUCCGGAAUUACUGGGCGUAAAGAGCUCGUAGGUGGUUUGUCACGUUGUUCGUGAAAACCCACAGCUCAACUGUGGGCGUGCGAGCGAUACGGGCAGACUAGAGUACUGCAGGGGAGACUGGAAUUCCUGGUGUAGCGGUGAAAUGCGUAGAUAUCUGGAGGAACACCGGUGGCGAAGGCGGCAUCCUGGACCGGCAUUGACGCUGAGGAGCGAAAGCCAGGGGAGCAAACGGG